rnacentral:sRNA from 1 species
UACUAGCACUUGCGAUUUUGUAUUUUG